CGACGCCGUACAGGCGAUCGCCGGUCGUGGGUCACUCUCGCAAGGGAGCGGCACCGUGACGGGAGGAAAGUCCGAGCUCCGCAGAGCGCGAUGCCGGGUAACGCCCGGUGGCGGAAACGCCAAGGAAAGUGCAACAGAGAAAAGACCGCCUGGCUGGCUUCGCUCGCGAUGCCCGCCAGGUAAGGGUGAAACGGCGGGGUAAGAGCCCACCGCGUCUCCGGUAACGGUGACGGCGAGGCAGACCCCAUCGGGAGCAAGGCCACAUAGGCGGGCGUGCCGCCUUCGAAGGUCGCAAGAUCCGAGAAGGCGGUGACGGACGGCUCGUCCGAGCCCGCGGGUAGGCUGCUCGAGGCGACCGGUAACGGUCGUCCUAGAGGAAUGAUACGCCGCCGCGUCGCGGGUGACCUCGGCGCGGAACAGAACUCGGCUUACGGACGACGUCGACCU
rnacentral:RNase_P_RNA from 2 species